rnacentral:rRNA from 1 species
CAGUCGCCGCGGUAAUACGUAGGUGGCAAGCGUUGUCCGGAAUUAUUGGGCGUAAAGGGCUCGCAGGCGGUUUCUUAAGCCUGAUGUGAAAGCCCCCGGCUCAACCGGGGAGGGUCAUUGGAAACUGGGAAACUUGAGUGCAGAAGAGGAGAGUGGAAUUCCACGUGUAGCGGUGAAAUGCGUAGAGAUGUGGAGGAACACCAGUGGCGAAGGCGACUCUCUGGUCUGUAACUGACGCUGAGGAGCGAAAGCGUGGGGAGCGAACAGGAUUAGAUACCCCUGUAGUCCCUGUCUCUUAUAC